rnacentral:rRNA from 1 species
CCUACGGGGUGCAGCAGUGGGGAAUAUUGCGCAAUGGGCGAAAGCCUGACGCAGCGACGCCGCGUGAGGGAUGAAGGUCUUCGGAUCGUAAACCUCUGUCAGCAGGGAAGAACGGUCACUGUGCUAAUCAGCAGUGAAUUGACGGUACCUGCAAAGGAAGCACCGGCUAACUCCGUGCCAGCAGCCGCGGUAAUACGGAGGGUGCGAGCGUUAAUCGGAAUUACUGGGCGUAAAGCGCUCGUAGGCGGUAUGUCAAGUCAAGGGUGAAAUCCCCGCGCUCAACGUGGGAACUGCCUUUUAAACUGGCAAACUGGAGUGUGUGAGAGGAUAGUGGAAUUCCAGGUGUAGGAGUGAAAGCCGUAGAUAUCUGGAGGAACAUCAGUGGCGAAGGCGACUAUCUGGCACAUAACUGACGCUGAGGAGCGAAAGCGUGGGUAGCAAACAGGAUUAGAUACCCGGGUAGUC